ACAAAUUAUUACCACUUGAGUUAGCUUUCCAUUGGUUCAAAUAUCAGGUUCAUUGGAUCUAUAUAACUCCAGAUAUGACAAAAACAAUAAGUGCUGCUUCACAGGUAAAGCUGUAUCCGGCAGGUAACAAGCUGGACUUUGCACGGUAAUUUUGGCUGCUUUGUGAUACGAAUUUGACUUCUUCCAAAACAUGAAAGUUGUAGAAACGUGCCUUGUAUUUCCAGCCCAACUUGAAUCACCUCGAUCCAAUGUCUGAAGCUCAAGUUAUGAUUAUUUUACCAACAGCUGCUUCUUGCUUGAGGCAGUCACUAUUUUUGACUUUUCAACAUUAUUUUCCUCCACUUGCUCCACUUGUUCUAAUUUGAAAAUACAAGUGAAAUACAUCAAAUAGAUACUCUUUCAAAUGUAUAAUACUCAUGCCACCAUGUAUGUAAAUACGUAUUUCAAUUAAUUGCAUUUUUAACCUUGUAUUUAUGGAAAUUGAAUUUACGGCAUGAGAAUUGGAAUUAGAGACUAACAUUAGCAUUUUUAAACAAAGUGAAUGUAAAAUGCCUUCUAAAUGAUAUAUCUUUGAAGCACUUUUAGACACUAAUCAG
rnacentral:lncRNA from 1 species